rnacentral:rRNA from 1 species
AGGGGGAUAACUACUGGAAACGGUAGCUAAUACCGCAUGACCUCGAAAGAGCAAAGUGGGGGACCUUCGGGCCUCACGCCAUCGGAUGUGCCCAGAUGGGAUUAGCUAGUAGGUGAGGUAAUGGCUCACCUAGGCGACGAUCCCUAGCUGGUCUGAGAGGAUGACCAGCCACACUGGAACUGAGACACGGUCCAGACUCCUACGGGAGGCAGCAGUGGGGAAUAUUGCACAAUGGGCGCAAGCCUGAUGCAGCCAUGCCGCGUGUGUGAAGAAGGCCUUCGGGUUGUAAAGCACUUUCAGCGAGGAGGAAGGGUUCAGUGUUAAUAGCACUGUGCAUUGACGUUACUCGCAGAAGAAGCACCGGCUAACUCCGUGCCAGCAGCCGCGGUAAUACGGAGGGUGCAAGCGUUAAUCGGAAUUACUGGGCGUAAAGCGCACGCAGGCGGUUUGUUAAGUCAGAUGUGAAAUCCCCGAGCUUAACUUGGGAACUGCAUUUGAAACUGGCAAGCUAGAGUCUUGUAGAGGGGGGUAGAAUUCCAGGUGUAGCGGUGAAAUGCGUA